rnacentral:rRNA from 1 species
UGGGGAAUAUUGCACAAUGGGCGCAAGCCUGAUGCAGCCAUGCCGCGUGUAUGAAGAAGGCCUUCGGGUUGUAAAGUACUUUCAGUCGGGAGGAAGGUGUCAAGGUUAAUAACCUUGGCAAUUGACGUUACCGACAGAAGAAGCACCGGCUAACUCCGUGCCAGCAGCCGCGGUAAUACGGAGGGUGCAAGCGUUAAUCGGAAUUACUGGGCGUAAAGCGCACGCAGGCGGUCUGUCAAGUCGGAUGUGAAAUCCCCGGGCUCAACCUGGGAGCUGCAUUCGAAGCUGGCAGGCUAGAGUCUUGUAGAGGGGGGUAGAAUUCCAGGUGUAGCGGUGAAAUGCGUAGAGAUCUGGGGGAAUACCGGUGGCGAAGGCGGCCCCCUGGACGAAGACUGACGCUCAGGUGCGAAAGCGUGGGGAGCAAACAGG